UUGGUGUAUUCACCUCCUACCCCUAAUGC
rnacentral:piRNA from 1 species